rnacentral:rRNA from 1 species
GUAGGGAAUAUUGGGCAAUGGUCGGAAGACUGACCCAGCCAUGCCGCGUGCAGGAAGACGGCCCUCUGGGUUGUAAACUGCUUUUAUCUGGGAAGAAAAAGGCCAUGCGUGGCAAAUUGCCGGUACCAGAUGAAUAAGCACCGGCUAACUCCGUGCCAGCAGCCGCGGUAAUACGGAGGGUGCGAGCGUUGCCCGGAUUUAUUGGGUUUAAAGGGUGCGUAGGCGGCUGAUUAAGUCAGCGGUGAAAGAGUUCGGCUUAACCGGAGCAGUGCCGUUGAUACUGGUUGGCUUGAGUGUCGGAGGGGUACAUGGAAUUGAUGGUGUAGCGGUGAAAUGCAUAGAUACCAUCAGGAACACCGAUAGCGAAGGCAUUGUACUGGCCGACAACUGACGCUGAUGCACGAAAGUGUGGGGAUCGAACAGGAUUAGAUACCCUAGUAGUCC